CUAUCACUCCUACGGGAGGCAGCAUGGGGGAAUAUUGCACAAUGGGGGAAACCCUGAUGCAGCCAUGCCGCGUGUGUGAAGAAAGGCCUUCGGGUUGUAAAGCACUUUCAGUAGGGAGGAAGGUAGUGUAGUUAACACCUGCAUUAUUUGACGUUACCUACAGAAGAAGCACCGGCUAACUCCGUGCCAGCAGCCGCGGUAAUACGGAGGGUGCGAGCGUUAAUCGGAAUUACUGGGCGUAAAGCGCAUGCAGGCGGCCUGUUAAGUCAGAUGUGAAAGCCCGGGGCUUAACCUCGGAAUUGCAUUUGAAACUGGCAGGCUAGAGUCUUGUAGAGGGGGUAGAAUUUCAGGUGUAGCGGUGAAAUGCGUAGAGAUCUGAAGGAAUACCAGUGGCGAAGGCGGCCCCCUGGACAAAGACUGACGCUCAGAUGCGAAAGCGUGGGGAGCAAACAGGAUUAGAUACCCUGGUAG
rnacentral:rRNA from 1 species